rfam:Capronia semiimmersa strain CBS 27337 unplaced genomic scaffold supercont1.2, whole genome shotgun sequence.
ACGUCUCUUGCCUCGCUCGGUCCGCAUUUCUCUAUUGCUUGAUCUUGAGCUGGAUGCCCGCUUCGGUGUGCGUACGAGACGAGAUCAAACUUGCUGAUUUUGAGUACGAUUCCACCUCACUUGGUGGUGGAUACUGUAAUUUUUCCGGCGACACAUUG